rnacentral:lncRNA from 1 species
GAUGGGAUUUUCUCAUCUACUGCUCCAGUUCACAUACUGCGAGGUACUAGCUUUGAUGAGAUCUGGUUUUCUGGAAAAAAAAAAAAGGGAGAAGGAACUCAGUGAAUAUUGCCCUGGGUCCUGGUAAUUCCACCUACUGAAGACAACUGCCCCUUCUGCUCAUAUUUCCUGAGUCAACAUGGCCGUUCCUAACUUUGAAGAGACUUUAGACAUUCUUUGUUACAAUGAACCUAGAAGAAAGAAGAGAAAUAAUAACUGCCAUGGAAGGAUGCUCCUCCUGCCAAUUGGCACUUAUCAAUGACAUCGAGGGAGAGGGACAGAGUGCCUAGGUAUGAGCCUUCAUCAAGUGGUAUGAAGGCCCUACCCCAACAGAAAGUGCUGAUGUGAUGAAAUGGUGCUUUGGACAAGACUUUUCCUCCAAGUUGGUCCUAUCCAGGGGUUGGCAAACAGGGUCCCUGGACAUCAUCCAUGUGGCAUACUCUUAUGAAUAAAGUUCUAUAGGACACA